GCCGGUGUAGCUCAGCUGGUAGAGCAACUGAUUUGUAAUCAGUAGGUCGGAGGUUCGACCCCUCUCGCCGGCU
rnacentral:tRNA from 1 species